CACGAACAACAGUAACAACAACAUCGAUUGCACGCAUACAAAAACAAAAUAAAGUUGUAGCACAAUAGCUCCCACGUCUGGCAAUGCUACACGAAUCGUAGCUCGGAAUUUAUUGCAUUGGCUCUACAAGGAGCGUUGAAAAGGGGGGACAGCUGCCUGCCUGCUGCUAUGCUGCAGUUAAGGAAGAAAAAACACUCGCCCGCACACAAUAUCAGCAACGACUGGCAGUCAGUCGUGAGUCCAUAGCUAACAGGCGGUGCAACUAAAUACAAAAACCACGUGACAAUGUUUUCAGAACAACAAAAGCAACAACAACGUGUAUGGGUCAACAUUUCAAAUGGGAUUUGCCAAUAAAAAAAGAAGGCCGUAGCCUUGUGUAUGGUCUAUCGGGUGUUGCAGCAGCCAGCAACUUUCGUAUUUGUCGCAUUUGCCACAUGGCGUAGUGCAAACCGCAUUAGCCUUCAUCAAGCCGAGCAAAUGCCGAUGCAAGGCAAAAAAUUAAAAAAAAAGAGACAACGUACAGCAAAUAUUGGACAACUAGCCGAAUGCGUGAUAUGUUGGCUUUAAACAAAGUCAAUAUGCUUAAGGUUCUGCUCAACAGCUGGAAGGAGAAAGUGUGUACUCAAUUGCAUGUAAAUCUUUAGAGUAAGGUUGUUUUAGUGUAUAUUUUCGUCAAGAAAUUCAACUCAUGAGACUUUAAAAAACAUAUAUAUUUCGGUGGCUCUGUAGGAAGCCUGCUCUAUAUUAAAAUGCAGUUAUUUCACUUAUAUUUCAAUUAAAACGGCCCACAUGUUGCAAAAUAA